rnacentral:rRNA from 1 species
GACAUUAGACGAAUCAUCUGGAAAGAUGAAUCAAAGAAGGUAAUAAUCCUGUAGUCGAAAAUGUUGUCUCUCUUGAGUGGAUCCUGAGUACGACGGAGCACGUGAAAUUCCGUCGGAAUCUGGGAGGACCAUCUCCUAAGGCUAAAUACUCUCUAGUGACCGAUAGUGAACCAGUACCGUGAGGGAAAGGUGAAAAGCACCCCGGAAGGGGAGUGAAAUAGAACCUGAAACCGUGUGCUUACAAGUAGUCAGAGCCCGUUAAUGGGUGAUGGCGUGCCUUUUGUAGAAUGAACCGGCGAGUUACGAUUUGAUGCAAGGUUAAGCAGUAAAUGUGGAGCCGUAGCGAAAGCGAGUCUGAAUAGGGCGUUUAGUAUUUGGUCGUAGACCCGAAACCAGGUGAUCUACCCUUGGUCAGGUUGAAGUUCAGGUAACACUGAAUGGAGGACCGAACCGACUUACGUUGAAAAGUGAGCGGAUGAACUGAGGGUAGCGGAGAAAUUCCAAUCGAACCUGGAGAUAGCUGGUUCUCUCCGAAAUAGCUUUAGGGCUAGCCUCAAGUGAUGAUUAUUGGAGGUAGAGCACUGUUUGGACGAGGGGCCCCUCUCGGGUUACCGAAUUCAGACAAACUCCGAAUGCCAAUUAAUUUAACUUGGGAGUCAGAACAUGGGUGAUAAGGUCCGUGUUCGAAAGGGAAACAGCCCAGACCACCAGCUAAGGUCCCAAAAUAUAUGUUAAGUGGAAAAGGAUGUGGCGUUGCCCAGACAACUAGGAUGUUGGCUUAGAAGCAGCCAUCAUUUAAAGAGUGCGUAAUAGCUCACUAGUCGAGUGACACUGCGCCGAAAAUGUACCGGGGCUAAACAUAUUACCGAAGCUGUGGAUUGUCCUUUGGACAAUGGUAGGAGAGCGUUCUAAGGGCGUUGAAGCAUGAUCGUAAGGACAUGUGGAGCGCUUAGAAGUGAGAAUGCCGGUGUGAGUAGCGAAAGACGGGUGAGAAUCCCGUCCACCGAUUGACUAAGGUUUCCAGAGGAAGGCUCGUCCGCUCUGGGUUAGUCGGGUCCUAAGCUGAGGCCGACAGGCGUAGGCGAUGGAUAACAGGUUGAUAUUCCUGUACCACCUAUAAUCGUUUUAAUCGAUGGGGGG